rnacentral:rRNA from 1 species
GAUGAACGCUAGCUACAGGCUUAACACAUGCAAGUCGAGGGGUAACGAGAGGAAAGCUUGCUUUCCUUGUCGACGACCGGCGCACGGGUGAGUAACGCGUAUCCAACCUGCCCCCAACUAGGGAAUAACCUUGCGAAAGUAAGACUAAUACCCUAUAAUUUCCUCAGAUGUCAUCUGACGAGGAAUAAAGAUUUAUCGGUUGUGGAUGGGGAUGCGUCUGAUUAGCUUGUUGGCGGGGUAACGGCCCACCAAGGCAACGGUCAGUAGGGGUUCUGAGAGGCAGGUCCCCCACAUUGGAACUGAGACACGGUCCAAACUCCUACGGGAGGCAGCAGUGAGGAAUAUUGGUCAAUGGGCGGAAGCCUGAACCAGCCAAGUAGCGUGCAGGAUGACGGCCCUAUGGGUUGUAAACUGCUUUUAUACAGGAAUAAAGUUAGCCACGUGUGGUUAUUUGUAGGUACUGUAUGAAUAAGGACCGGCUAAUUCCGUGCCAGCCGCCGCAGUAA